AGUCUGACCUGCUCAAUGAUAAUUUAAAUAGCUGCAGUAUCCUAACUGUACAAAGGUAGCAUAAUAAUUUGUCUUAUAAUUGAAGAAUGGAAUGAAUGGUUUGACAAGGGUGUGGCUGUCUCUUAUAUAUUUGUUUGAAGUUAAUUUUUAGGUUAAAAGGCUUAAAUUGAAUUAAAGGACGAGAAGACCCUAUUGAGCUUAAAUUAAUAAUGAUGUUAAUAAAAAAUGAUUUAAAUUAGUUAUAGGAUUUAUGUAGUUUUAGUUGGGGCGACUAAGAGAUAAAUAAAGCUCUCUUUUAUAUUUUAUAAAGUUGUUUGUUGAUCCAAUUUUUUUGAAUUAAGAUCAAGCUACCAUAGGGAUAACAGCGUUAUCUUUUUUGAGAGUUCUAAUCGAAAAAUAGGAUUGCGACCUCGAUGUUGGAUUAAGAUUUAAUAAAGGUUGUAGGAGCUUUUAGGAUUAGUCUGUUCGA
rnacentral:rRNA from 1 species